CCAUCUCUUCCUCCAGCUCCCCUGACUGCUCCAAAGAAGAGCCAAGGAAUCCUACAGGACACAUGUGUGGUGAGUGACCACUAAGGAUGUCCCAUUUCCAGGCACCAUUUAAUCAGCCUAAGUAGAAACAGUUACACCAUGCAAACCCCUCAGCUGCUGCCUGGCUCUGUAAAUGGGAUGGGAUUAAAGGUAGUGGCCUAGAACUGCCUGUGGCAUCCAGCUUUGGGCCAUGAGGACGCAUGGCGUUGGUCCCUACCUCAGACUUCCACACGAUGUAGGGGUGGCCGCGACUGUUGGGUGGGGACUGGAACUUCCUCUGCUGAAGCCACCUCCUGGGAGAAGUGAAGAUGCCAUUGGGGCCUCCCCCAGAGGAGCAGAGGAUGCUGGCAGAGCUGCGGCCACUGACUGGCCCAGCCAGGACAGAAGGCAAGUCCCAGGCCGCACUCUUCUUGAGACCACCGCGACCCAAGGGGACCUCGUAGUCAAAGUGGAAGCUGCCCGAAGGGGACUUCUCCUGCGGGGUGCUGGGCAUGGAGAAGGACGAGCAAAGAGGUCUGGGUUGCGGGAGCCUGGUGGUCCGGGAUGGCUGGCUCCUGGCAGAAGAUGCAGAGCGGGGGCAAAGACCCUCCGCUAGGGGUUGCGGGGAGUAAAGGCGGCCUGCUAUGGACCCCCGCGCACCGCCCUCUGUGACUGUUUCGCCCCCGGAGCCUCCGAUCAGGGCUGGGUCCAGGCUGCGGGUCUGUCGCAGCUUCCUCUUGGAGAAGCCCUUGGCUGAGGCUGCACCGCCCGAGGCGGGUGAAGAGCAAGAAAAAACGCUGUGGAGCAGGCUCUGGGCGGACAUCUCCAGGGGCUGUGCCCGAGGGCCACCUUCUCUCUCCCUCCUGGAAUGUUGGAGGUUUUUGGCUAGGAAAGGAAGGCAGCUGGGGAAAAGCUGCCAGGACGGACUGGUUGAGGGCGGUGGAGGGCAGUGCCGGGUUCACGCACCACCAGCGCACUCCAAGUGCUCCUGCCCGGACAGAAGCUGGAGAUCCAUCACCAGCCUUCUAGGAAAAAAGGGUCCAGGUCCCUCCUGAAACCUUUAGAAUCCUCCCGUGGAGCCCCAGUAGCAAAGAUGGUAAGGAAGAAGAGGAAGGUCCAGCGUUUGCUUGGUUCCCAGCUCCAGCCCGCCAGCGCCACUCCCCCUUCGAAACCAGGCGGGAGACUCGGCGCUCCGGCUCGCAAGCUCUGGACAACCUCUAAGUCUCCAGCAAGCUCCUCCUCGUGGCCAGAGGACUGUCCUGAGCGCUCGGGAGGAGGCCUGGGUGUGCGCCAGGGCGCGUCUGCUGCGCUCACCAAGAAGUGUGAUCUUCCUCCCGCCCCGGAGCUGAGCGCCCCAGCUGCGCCUUCAGGGAACCCUCGCGGUGUACUGGAGCUGGAGGCUGUGCUUUUGGGCUCCUCUUGGUUGCUGCGCCUGCUCUUCCUACUGGGAAUGCUCAAGAGUGUCUCCAAGCCCAAUGUUCCUGCGGGAUCUCGGGCUUGCUGCAAACUGGGACACCCAGCGCGCUGCGCCCAGGGCCUUCCAAGGGCUCAGUGACUAUGACCGUAGAGAAUUCCCCGCUGCCCUCAGCGCUAUUCGGAAAGGGGGGAGCUCCAGAGACAGCCUCAGAAGCCAGUGCCCAUGUUCCACUGUAGAGCGACACUUGACAUUCACAGCCAGCCGUGGGCCCAGGGCAGGCGUGGAGAUGUCCCCGCACGCUCGUGCUGGAGGCGGCGGAAAGGAGGUGGCUGGGACGCGUAGGGUCAGAGGAACGCAGGGUCUGGAGCCGGGGCGGAGCCAGGAGCAGGAGAAAGCAAGACGUGAGGAUUUCCAGACGCCAAACCUGGGAGCAGCGCACUGAGCGAGCAGCUAGCACUAAUACGUGGUCUCCAGGGGAGAAAGUCGUGAGGACGGAAAUGCAGACCUUCUCCCACCCCCCACCCCGUCUCCCUUCCCCCACAGACUGAAGGGAGAGCCAGAUCCACUCACGUUUCUGGAAAGGAAGAGAAGUGUCAGAUUGCACCCCACCCACUGGUGUCAGAUGGGCAGCCCAGAAGGUUGCUCUGAAGUUAGAGUUAAAUCUCCUGCCCUCUCUCUCCUGCCUCCACUCCUGCUGUUUUUGUUUUAUAAAAGGAUAAAGAUGUAGUUCAAAUGCUGUGACUGCCGAUUAUUGGACUGGAGGGGACUUACUAAGGGAAGUGUAGCAGAAGAAGUCCACCCCGUGUAAGGGUCGUGAACACGUGCUGAAAAUGUACUCUAGGAGGAGUGGUGAGUGAAGCCCGACAGGACAGACGCUAGGUCCUGCGUCGUCGUCCUAGAUUUCAUGGAGAUUGGAGCUGACAAAGUCAUCAAUCACCAGGUUCCACACCGGUAUAACAGCACAGCGCGCAGCAACCACAGUCCUGGGUAGCAGGAAAACGCCGCAGAAACAAUAUUCCUGGCUUGGAAAUGUUUGGCCCCUAGGAUGAAUAUGGGAUUGAAAAUGCAACCCUGCCAUGAUUAUGGAGGGCUAAUAUGAAAGCCCUGAAGACACAAAGGCAUAUAUUCUUGGUCAUGGAUGAGCAGAGGAACUCUUCUAUUGGGACUCCCAAGGCUGGGAACAGACAUAUGGCAGUUAAUUCAUCAUCCAAUGGAUCUUGACACCCACCAUUAGCCUGGAACUUGCUUCAUGGUCAGGAACAACAGAUAAACUGUUUUAAAUACAUUCAUGUGUGGUGUAACAAGGGACAUGGUUUAAGAAGUACACUGAUAGGCAAUUUUAUUGUUGUGUCAGCAUCAUAAAGUGUAUUUAAAUAAACCUAGAUGGUACAGAUCAGUCAUUCAACAUGGAUUUGAUGCAACCAAUAGAUAAAAUAAACAUGAGAUGUAUGAGGCUGAGGCCAGUGUAACACAGAAUACAUUGAAUUGCUUUUUAUAAAAAGAAAUAUACUCUAAAAUAAUAAUAAAUAGUAAAUAUAUAAACCCCUAACAUAGUCACUUAAAAUUAUCAAGUAUUAUGUACUGUAUAUAAUUGUGGUUUUAUUUAUACUAAAAACAGGACAGGUUUGUUCAUACCUACAUCACCACAAACAUGUAAUAGAUUGUACUAUGACAUCACAACAGCUAGGACAUCAGUAGGCAACAGGAGUUUUUCAGCUUCAUUAAUAUCAUUUGGGAAUAUGUAUGAUAUAUUCCAUCCAUCCUUGAUUGAAACUUCUUUGGGCAUCAAGUGGCUAUAAUCAUUAUAUUAAGCUGAAGCUUCUUUAAAAAUAAUCAUCCAGUGUAAGUAUGUGUGCUUUUUAAAACCCAGUUAGAAAAGUGAUGGCUGUUCUGGAAAGAUUUUGUAAGAAAUUUAUUUGGAUUUUCAUUUUUUGUAUUUUAAGAACUAUUUUGCUUUUCAACCGGGUUGCUAUUAGAUUUAUAUUGCAGUCAUCAUGGCUUACAGCAUAUUAAUUCAUUUUCAGGCAGGGUGUUCUAUUUUAUUUUGUUAUAUAAUCCUUUUGCUUAUAUAGACUCAACUCACAUUACCCUUUCUGAUUGACUGCCAGGUUAUGCCAAAUUCAUUUAAGGAAGACCUAUGUGUUUUACUUACCAAUUUCAAAAGCUGGGGAUUGUGUUACAUUGAUAUCCAGAAUCAUAAUUCAUCAGCUAGCUUCAGAAGCAACAUAACUGGGAGUCUAGAAAUAAAUGGUUUUAAAAAUA